AUUUAUCAUUAUUUUCCGUUAUUUUUAAGGAGUUUUUUUAUGUCUUUACAAAGUUAAAAAAAAAAACUUGAGAUUAAUCCUUAGAAAAUCCAAAUCUCACUGUUCACAUCCCCUUCUUUCGAAUUAGAUGGCGUCGCACUGCAACUUUGUGAGACUUCACAUUAGGUACACUUUAGGCAAUUAACUCAUUGAAGACACCGUGUGAGAGGUGCUGAGAGAGAAAUAAAGCCGAGCAAACUGUGAAACCGAAUGUCAUGCCGUUAUUUGCCUUUACAACUCUCAAAAGAGCCAAAGUUUUUCCGGGCUUUUUUUUCCCAACGUCGUCAGAAAAGGAAGAAACCGUCAUCGCAACCCAACGUGAACAUUCUCGUGACUUAGGCAGGCGAUCAAUGACUUUUCAGGAUCGAAUGUAAUAGUUUAUCCGGUGAAUCGACCGGGACGUAUUUUGCACAUAUUUUUCUGCGCUCUAUUAGGACACGUCCAAGUAAAAGAUGUUUGAUUCGA